rnacentral:rRNA from 1 species
UUUUAUGGAGAGUUUGAUCCUGGCUCAGGAUGAACGCUGGCGGCGUGCCUAAUACAUGCAAGUCGAGCGAACGGACGAGAAGCUUGCUUCUCUGAUGUUAGCGGCGGACGGGUGAGUAACACGUGGAUAACCUACCUAUAAGACUGGGAUAACUUCGGGAAACCGGAGCUAAUACCGGAUAAUAUUUUGAACCGCAUGGUUCAAAAGUGAAAGACGGUCUUGCUGUCACUUAUAGAUGGAUCCGCGCUGCAUUAGCUAGUUGGUAAGGUAACGGCUUACCAAGGCAACGAUGCAUAGCCGACCUGAGAGGGUGAUCGGCCACACUGGAACUGAGACACGGUCCAGACUCCUACGGGAGGCAGCAGUAGGGAAUCUUCCGCAAUGGGCGAAAGCCUGACGGAGCAACGCCGCGUGAGUGAUGAAGGUCUUCGGAUCGUAAAACUCUGUUAUUAGGGAAGAACAUAUGUGUAAGUAACUGUGCACAUCUUGACGGUACCUAAUCAGAAAGCCACGGCUAACUACGUGCCAGCAGCCGCGGUAAUACGUAGGUGGCAAGCGUUAUCCGGAAUUAUUGGGCGUAAAGCGCGCGUAGGCGGUUUUUUAAGUCUGAUGUGAAAGCCCACGGCUCAACCGUGGAGGGUCAUUGGAAACUGGAAAACUUGAGUGCAGAAGAGGAAAGUGGAAUUCCAUGUGUAGCGGUGAAAUGCGCAGAGAUAUGGAGGAACACCAGUGGCGAAGGCGACUUUCUGGUCUGUAACUGACGCUGAUGUGCGAAAGCGUGGGGAUCAAACAGGAUUAGAUACCCUGGUAGUCCACGCCGUAAACGAUGAGUGCUAAGUGUUAGGGGGUUUCCGCCCCUUAGUGCUGCAGCUAACGCAUUAAGCACUCCGCCUGGGGAGUACGACCGCAAGGUUGAAACUCAAAGGAAUUGACGGGGACCCGCACAAGCGGUGGAGCAUGUGGUUUAAUUCGAAGCAACGCGAAGAACCUUACCAAAUCUUGACAUCCUUUGACAACUCUAGAGAUAGAGCCUUCCCCUUCGGGGGACAAAGUGACAGGUGGUGCAUGGUUGUCGUCAGCUCGUGUCGUGAGAUGUUGGGUUAAGUCCCGCAACGAGCGCAACCCUUAAGCUUAGUUGCCAUCAUUAAGUUGGGCACUCUAAGUUGACUGCCGGUGACAAACCGGAGGAAGGUGGGGAUGACGUCAAAUCAUCAUGCCCCUUAUGAUUUGGGCUACACACGUGCUACAAUGGACAAUACAAAGGGCAGCGAAACCGCGAGGUCAAGCAAAUCCCAUAAAGUUGUUCUCAGUUCGGAUUGUAGUCUGCAACUCGACUACAUGAAGCUGGAAUCGCUAGUAAUCGUAGAUCAGCAUGCUACGGUGAAUACGUUCCCGGGUCUUGUACACACCGCCCGUCACACCACGAGAGUUUGUAACACCCGAAGCCGGUGGAGUAACCUUUUAGGAGCUAGCCGUCGAAGGUGGGACAAAUGAU